UGAGGAAUAUUGGUCAAUGGGCGAGAGCCUGAACCAGCCAAGUAGCGUGCAGGACGACGGCCCUAUGGGUUGUAAACUGCUUUUAUGUGGGGAUAAAGUGCGUGACGUGUCAUGCAUUGCAGGUACCAGAUGAAUAAGGACCGGCUAAUUCCGUGCCAGCAGCCGCGGUAAUACGGAAGGUCCGGGCGUUAUCCGGAUUUAUUGGGUUUAAAGGGAGCGUAGGCUGUCUAUUAAGCGUGUUGUGAAAUUUACCGGCUCAACCGGUGGCUUGCAGCGCGAACUGGUCGACUUGAGUAUGCAGGAAGUAGGCGGAAUUCAUGGUGUAGCGGUGAAAUGCUUAGAUAUCAUGACGAACUCCGAUUGCGCAGGCAGCUUACUGUAGCAUAACUGACGCUGAUGCUCGAAAGUGCGGGUAUCAAACAGG
rnacentral:rRNA from 1 species